AUUGAACGCUGGCGGCAGGCUUAACACAUGCAAGUCGAGCGGAGAUGAGGUGCUUGCACCUUAUCUUAGCGGCGGACGGGUGAGUAAUGCUUAGGAAUCUGCCUAUUAGUGGGGGACAACAUUCCGAAAGGAAUGCUAAUACCGCAUACGUCCUACGGGAGAAAGCAGGGGAUCUUCGGACCUUGCGCUAAUAGAUGAGCCUAAGUCGGAUUAGCUAGUUGGUGGGGUAAAGGCCUACCAAGGCGACGAUCUGUAGCGGGUCUGAGAGGAUGAUCCGCCACACUGGGACUGAGACACGGCCCAGACUCCUACGGGAGGCAGCAGUGGGGAAUAUUGGACAAUGGGGGGAACCCUGAUCCAGCCAUGCCGCGUGUGUGAAGAAGGCCUUACGGUUGUAAAGCACUUUAAGCGAGGAGGAGGCUACCUGGAUUAAUACUCUAGGAUAGUGGACGUUACUCGCAGAAUAAGCACCGGCUAACUCUGUGCCAGCCGCCGCAGUAAAAC
rnacentral:rRNA from 1 species